rnacentral:rRNA from 1 species
CAAGGCUUGACAUAUACGAGAACGCUGCAGAAAUGUAGAACUCUUUGGACACUCGUAAACAGGUGGUGCAUGGUUGUCGUCAGCUCGUGUCGUGAGAUGUUGGGUUAAGUCCCGCAACGAGCGCAACCCUCGUUCUAUGUUGCCAGCACGUAAUGGUGGGAACUCAUGGGAUACUGCCGGGGUCAACUCGGAGGAAGGUGGGGAUGACGUCAAAUCAUCAUGCCCCUUAUGUCUUGGGCUUCACGCAUGCUACAAUGGCCGGUACAAAGGGCUGCAAUACCGUGAGGUGGACAGAAUCCCAAAAAGCCGGUCCCAGUUAGGAUUGAGGUUUUCAACUCGACCUCAUGAAGUCGGAGUCGCUAGUAAUCGCAGAUCAGCAACGCUGCGGUGAAUCGUUCCC